rnacentral:misc_RNA from 1 species
AAGUCGUAACAAGGUUUCCGUAGGUGAACCUGCGGAAGGAUCAUUAACACGUAUCCAACGUUAAACCCCCCGUGAACCUUCAUUGUGCUCCCCCAUUCCGCUGGUAAAUCAUCGCCGAACAGUUUUGAUUCAGGGACCUCUGCAUGGAGUGGGCAGCAGCGCGAGGCAAGUGGCCUGGCAUUCGAAAGAAUGGCGCAGUAACGAUCGCUAGAGGCCGACACGGCCGGCGACCGGGUCACUGGGCUCACGCCCCCCUAUCACCUUUGCAUGAAAACGGGCCUGCGCUUAAUUGUGCGGCCACCAAACUCGAACAACUGUUAACAAUGGAUAUCUUGGUUCUC